AACCGGCACGGCGGAGCAGCGGCGGCGGGGCUGGGGGGAGGCCGUCGAGUCGGCCGCGGCCGAGGAGGGGCAGGCGGAGGUCGGGGGCGCCGCGGCCGCGGGGUCAGGUUCCCCGGCGGGAGGCGCGGGUGGCGGCCUGGGGAGCUGGCGGCCGCUCCUCGCCUGGCUGCAGCGGCGGCAGCCCCAGUGCUGCCCCUGUGCGGCGCCCCUUUCCCGCUCCGCCGCGCACUGUUGUCAUGGAGGAACCAAGAUGGCGGCUCUGGCCUACAACCUGGGCAAGCGGGAGAUCAACCACUACUUCAGCGUGAGGAGCGCCAAGGUGCUGGCGCUGGUGGCCGUGCUGCUGCUCGCAGCGUGCCACCUCGCCUCCCGCCGCUACCGAGGCAAUGAUUCGUGUGAAUACCUUCUCUCAAGUGGCAGAUUUCUUGGAGAGAAAGUUUGGCAACCUCACAGUUGUAUGAUGCAUAAAUACAAAAUCAGUGAAGCAAAGAACUGCCUUGUAGAUAAACAUAUUGCAUUUAUUGGAGAUUCCAGAAUUCGUCAAUUGUUUUAUUCUUUUGUAAAAAUAAUUAAUCCCCAAUUCAAAGAAGAAGGAAAUAAGCAUGAAAACAUUCCUUUUGAAGACAAGACUGCAUCAGUUAAAGUGGAUUUUCUGUGGCAUCCUGAAGUUAAUGGUUCUAUGAAACAGUGUAUCAAAGUGUGGACUGAGGAUUCCGUUGCAAAGCCACAUGUGAUUGUAGCAGGAGCUGCCACAUGGUCCAUCAAGAUUCACAAUGGUAGCAGUGAAGCGCUUUCUCAAUAUAAAAUGAACAUUACCUCCAUAGCACCACUUUUAGAAAAAUUGGCAAAGACUAGUGAUGUUUAUUGGGUCUUACAAGAUCCUGUUUAUGAAGAUCUAUUAAGUGAAAAUAGGAAGAUGAUCACUAAUGAGAAGAUAGAUGCUUACAAUGAAGCUGCAGUCAGUAUUUUGAAUAGUAGCACCAGAAAUUCUAAAUCAAAUGUUAAGAUGUUCAGUGUUUCCAAAUUAAUUGCUCAAGAAACCAUCAUGGAAUCUUUGGAUGGCUUACAUCUUCCUGAAUCAAGCAGAGAAACUAGUGCAAUGAUUCUUAUGAACGUGUAUUGCAAUAAGAUUUUGAAGCCUGUAGAUGGGUCCUGUUGUCAACCUCGGCCUCCUGUUACUCUCAUACAGAAGCUAGCUGCUUGUUUUUUCACUUUAUCUAUUAUCGGAUAUUUAAUUUUUUACAUAAUUCAUCGUAAUGCUCAUCGGAAGAAUAAGCCGUGUACUGAUUUGGAAAGUGGAGAGGAAAAGAAAAAUAUUAUCAAUACCCCUGUGUCUUCAUUAGAAAUACUUUUACAGUCUUUCUGCAAACUUGGCCUGAUUAUGGCAUAUUUCUAUAUGUGUGACCGUGCAAAUCUGUUCAUGAAGGAAAACAAAUUUUAUACACAUUCAUCUUUCUUUAUUCCAAUUAUCUACAUUUUGGUUUUGGGAGUAUUUUAUAAUGAAAAUACUAAAGAGACUAAAGUAUUAAAUAGAGAACAAACAGAUGAGUGGAAAGGCUGGAUGCAACUUGUGAUUUUGAUUUAUCACAUUUCUGGAGCAAGUACAUUUUUGCCUGUAUACAUGCACAUUCGAGUUCUGGUUGCUGCAUAUUUAUUUCAGACAGGGUAUGGACAUUUCUCAUACUUUUGGAUCAAAGGAGAUUUUGGAAUCCAUAGAGUAUGUCAGGUUUUAUUUCGUCUCAAUUUCCUGGUAGUGGUGUUAUGUAUAGUAAUGGAUCGACCUUAUCAAUUCUAUUACUUUGUCCCCUUGGUCACUGUAUGGUUCAUGGUCAUAUAUGUUACUUUAGCACUAUGGCCACAAAUAAUCCAAAAAAAAGCAAACGGAAAUUGUUUCUGGCAUUUUGGCUUACUGUUGAAACUAGGCGUUUUGCUGUUAUUCAUAUGUUUUUUGGCAUAUUCUCAGGGUGCAUUUGAGAAGAUCUUUUCUCUUUGGCCAUUGUCCAAGUGUUUUGAACUGAAAGGGAAUGUAUAUGAAUGGUGGUUCAGAUGGAGGUUAGACCGUUAUGUAGUUUUCCAUGGAAUGCUGUUUGCUUUCAUUUAUCUGGCUUUGCAGAAGCGUCAAAUACUUUCUGAAGGAAAGGGUGAACCUCUUUUUUCAAACAAAAUUUCAAAUUUUCUAUUGUUUAUUUCAGUAGUUUCUUUCUUGACCUAUUCCAUCUGGGCUAGCAGUUGUAAAAACAAAGCAGAGUGCAAUGAACUCCAUCCGUCUGUUUCUGUGGUACAGAUUUUAGCCUUCAUCCUAAUAAGAAACAUCCCUGGAUAUGCCCGUUCAGUUUACAGUUCAUUUUUUGCUUGGUUUGGAAAAAUUUCAUUAGAGGUCCUACUGAGUCAGAGGUCUAAACCCUGACAGAGAGAUGCAGUGUUCUGAUUAGCCAGACCUGAGAUCUGGUGCACGGUGUGGAGUCACCUUAAAUGGAAGUACCUGGCUGGAAAUUAGAACAGAAAUGUUUGUGUAGAGAAAAAAUGUAAAGUUGCUAGAAGAAGGCUCCUGUCUUGCUUCUAGAUCCAAAUGUCCUCCCAUUCCAGUAGGUGUAGCUAUAGAAAAAAAAAAACCACCAAAUAUCUGAUUAUGAAGUCAGGUGACUCAUUUUUAUAACAAAGUUUGUUCCUUCAUCAAUCUCCUGAAUGCUUACAAAGUAGCACCAACACGUCAAUAUAUUGAACAGUCUUGUUGAAACAUGUUAGCAUUUAAUUAAAACAAGUAAUCAAAAUUGUAGGGAAAAAUUCUGAUAAACAUUAUCUUGUAAUGAAAAUCUGAUGAACAAUUUCAUUAUACUUGCCUCAAAUCUUUGAAAAGUUGUCAAACGAAAAUCUCCUUAAAUUCACGAAAGCAGUAAUAGAGAAGACAAUUUCUGAAUGAAAACAUCCAAUACAUUUCUGUAUGUGCCUGAAGUUUUUAAGAGACUUACUUAAUAGUUUCCCUACCACAAUGCCACUAUUCAUACUCAGAAUUCCACACCCAACUUACAUUUUUGAAACUUCUCUUGCUUUUCCAAAAGAGCUACAAAGGCAUUAAUGGUUGCCUGGCAAUUAGAACUAGGAAUCAACCACUAAUUAGAAGACAAUCAUGAAUAAGUUAUCUACUCAGUAUAGAGAUGAAUGAAAUAAUUGGCUGUGGAAAAUUUUUAGGGACACUUGAAAGAAAUAAAGAAAGCAAGCCUUAGGGAAAUAGAAUAAUCCAAGGAGAAUUGUCCGCCAUCUUGUUGUCAUUGGUCAUGUUAUAACAGCUUUUUAAAGCGGCUUUAAAACCAGGCCAGCCAUUUCUCAUUUAUCCCCCUGAAGCCUCGGUGAUUAGUCACAAUGGUUUCCUUUUGUAAGAGUCAGUUUCAAGCUGCUCACUUACUGAGACAAAUCCUGGAUGCAUCCAAGCUAAGAAUCUUUCAUACCAAGGGGAAGAAUAGGGAGCUUCACUGAAGGAAAGGGGUUUCAUUCAGUCUUCCUUAAUUAGACAGGACCUCCAUGGAUGCUUUUGCUCUAAGAUCAUUUGCCCUGUGUUUAUCAUUCUGAUGCCAAUCUAUGUAAUAAUCUAAGCUAUUAUUCUGAGGUUUUAAGUCUGAUUAAGGAAUGACACAAGUGUUUUGCCUUAUUUGGUGAAGCUAAAGCUUCAUAAAUUAUAUAGUGCCAUAAUUAUCUUUUAAUCUAUUAGAUUCAUUCAUAAACAUCAAUUUAUUAUUCUUAGCACUCACCUGUAGUCUGCUGUUGGGGAAUCUGAGUCUGAUGUGGCAAAUUCCUAGAAAUGAUGAACAUUUUUGAGUAAAACUGUUUGUUUACACACUUGUAAAUAGAGAGCAGACAUACUAGAAUGAAAAACUUUACGGGUAAACUAUGACCCCAGUCAUGUAAUCCAGCACAAUUCCCCUCCCCUUUCAUGAGCUUACAGAUGAGGAAACUGAGGUCUGAGGAGAAUAAAAAUUAACAAUAUUUGAUAACAUGCAUGAAAUUUUCACUACGGGCUAUACUCUAAAGUACCUCACAACAACCCUAAGAGGUAGGUGUUAAUAUUUUUCCCAUUUUAUGGGUGAAGAAAUAGCCUUGGAGAUCCAGGGCCACAUAGCUAGGACAUGGUAGGUAAAGAUGUGAACACAGUGGCUUGUGCUCUUAACCUAUACACUUUCAGAUCCAGAUCACACAUUUUCAUGGAACAACAUAUAUAACCACCUUCAUUCACUAUCCCAAACAUGUGUGCUCUUUUAUCUUCAUGUCAGGAAUGACACUGGCCAUGCAUCCAGAUGCAUUGGCGGAAUGCAGAAGUCAUCCUUGUUCCUUCCCUCUCCUUCAGUCUCCACAUUCAACCACUUAGGGACUUUUGACAUUUCUUUCUGUCUCAUUUGGAUCUGCCCCAUUCUUCCCCAUCUCCAUUGCUAACUUGGUUGAAGCCAUCAUCAUUUCUCACUUGGAUCGUUGUAAGGGGAUUGACUUGUUUCCUCAUUUACAUUCUUGUCCCCUCAUAAUCCACUGUGCCCAUUGCUGUCAGAAUAAUCUUCUAAGACAGGGGUCCCCAACCCCUGGGCCAUGGAACUGGGCUGUGCAGCAGGAGGUGAGUGGCAGGUAAGCCAUUGAAACCUCAUCUGUAUUUACAGGUGCUCCCCAUCACUCACAUUACCACCUGGGUUCUGCCUCCUGUCAGACCAGUGGCAGCAGUAGACGGUCAUAGGAGCGUGAACCCUAUCGUGAACUGCGUAUGCGAGGGAUCUAGGUUGUGCACUCCUUAUGAGAAUCUAAUGCCUGAUGAUCUGUCACUGUCCCCCAUCACCCCCUGAUGGUACUGUCUAGUUGCAGGGAAACAAGCUCAGGGCUCCCACUGAUUCUACACUAUGGUGAGUCAUAUAAUAUUUCAUUAUAUAUUCCAAUGUAAUAAUAGAGAUAAAGUACAUAAUAAAUGCAAUGCACUUGGAUCACCCCAAACCAUCCCCCACUCCUGGUCUGACAUGAAACCAGUUCCUGGUGCCAAAAAGGUUGGGGACCACUGUUCUAAGACACAAAUCUGAUUAAAUAACACACAUUUCAAUAUUUCCUUGUAUCUAUCUGCAGAUUAAAUUUCAGAUUUCUUAAUGUGGCCUGGAAAGCCACAAUAUAUCUCACUCCUACAUGGAGUGCCCCAUGUCUGCUUGAAGCCAACAACCAACCACCAUGGCUACUACCAUGUCCUGUACACAAUCAGCUCCCAUUUGUUCUUGAAAACUCAACUCAGAACAGCAUACAGGUAUUACUCUUAUAGUUUAAAAAUUCCCAUAAGAAAUGUUAUUAAAAUUUUUAACAUAUUAUUUUUAAUUAAAAAAAUCUCAAGAACCACCUUCCUAUGCAUCCUCACUCUCUAAGCAACCCACAGUUAGGAUACCAUUUAGCAUGCUUUCAUUCACAUGCUGAUUGUCAUUGUAUUCUCUGUACAUAAUAUUUAAUUGCCCUAAAGUAUAUUAACAAUAAGAACCAUCAUAUUUUGUUUAGUAUCCUCAGAAGUAAACAUUAUAAAGUAUAUACAUUUAUUAACUUACAGAUUUAGUUUCACAUAUUGAUACUAAAAUUAGUUUAUGAAAAUGUACAAUUUAGGUUCUGUAUGGAAGAAACUCUAGGAGUCAGUCCUUUAUAAUAAAGUUUGAUCCAAGCUGGGGAUUUUCAGUUUUUUGUUUUCUCUUUAGCACUGGGAUUCCUCUUAAUUGAAACCCUAAGCAGAACUGUGAUGUACAAAACAGAUAAAUGUGAGGUUGCCUGGGUUGAAACAAGGGAGUCAGGAAUCCUGUCAGCUUUGUUUUCUUUGUCCCUCAUGCUGGCCCCUACAGCAAUUCUAAGAAAUCUGUAAAAAACAGUUUGAAAACCACUGAUAUGAAUUACUUCAGCCAGGCAAAUAUUAUGUUCCAAAUACAACAAUCUAAAGUGGAAAACAGUGUGUGCUAAUUAAAUGCUGUUUAAACUCUUAAUUUCAUCUACAGGUAACACCUUUGAGAGAUUUUUUUUAAUGUUUCAGUUCCACUUUAAAGAUAUUACUAGGGAAAUAAUAAACUCAACUCUAACACAGUUUGAGGAAGUUACUUAAUAAUUCAUCCCAACGAUUAUAUUCUUUUUUAUUGUUAUUUAUCAGCCUUAUCCUUGUGUAGGCUAGAGGAGUAUUUCUUUUUUAGCUUGUUUGUUCUUUCAGAAUUUCACACAAUGUAUUUAUAUUGGUUUUGGUCACAAAAGUAAAAAGAUCAAUUUAUAAACUACAAAGAGGGAAUAAGUUCUACAUUUAAAGAUGGCAAGGCAAACAUCUUUACUACAGAAGCCAAAAUGCAAUUAGAUGGGCAUCUCACACAGGGUGGGAGGAUGUGUUUUAUUUUACCUACUCAGGUAUAACUGAUCUGGGUCUAUUCUACACUCAAAACGAACACAGUGCGCCUUGUACACAUAGGCACACACCACACACAAGCACUUCCUCAUUCCUUACCAUCUCUAGCUCUACCUAGCCUGUUAGCAGAUUGAAUCAACACAUUUUGACAAAAUACAAAAAUCAAACAGGAUAAAGAAAGUAUAGAAUGUAGGUGUUCUAACAUAGGUAGUGGUUAGUAAACAAAGACACACGUUUUCCGAAAGCACUAGAUUAAGGAUCCUCCAAAUUCAAAAUCAGCAUUUGGAUGAGGUAGUUGGAUGACCCCCACUUCUCUUGUUGGCCCUCCCAACUGACCUUUCUGUGGAAUUUAGCUUGGAAACCACUGAUCAAAGUCAACCUAUGCCCUGUCAUUUCUUUUCUAGCCUCCGUUUUUUCCCCUUUUGCUACAUUGCUAAACUUUCUAAAUCACAAUGGGCUGCGCUAGGUGAAAAGAGAUGGCUGGUUGAGAAAAAUGCCACACACAAACUAGCAAGAAAUUUGGAGAAGAUGCAUAAGAAAGCAACUGUGUGUCUUAUAUUGAUUUAGGGACUGAAAAGUAUCCAUAGUGCGUGUUCUAAGUGGUUGGAUUUGAACAAUGCUCAUGCACUCCUUGCAAUUUCAAAGGAAACUUAGAUGAGUUAUAUUAAAAGUGCUUAUGUGUGCAAAAAGGUGCUCAACCAAAAAAAUACUGAGAUUCAACUUCCCCUGAUUGGGUACAACCCAUCUCGUGUUUUGAAGGAGACCCUUGAGUCUCCAAGAUGUAUGCACAUAGCUCUGUUUUUGUGGCUUCCCAAACUUGUAACUAAAUGCGAACCUGUAAGUAUUAAAGUGUGAAUACAUCUAUGAUGGGCAUAUUUAAAACUGUGUAUUUCAUUUAAGAGUUGAAGGGACAUACUUUGUAACAGCACUGCUUCAGGCAUACUGGAAAAAUGUCUUCAACCCCAACUCUGCUAGUUAAGAUGCAGAGAAUGCAGGAAAAAAGUGGCGAAUUCUCAUCUUUGGUGAGAGCAGGCUGCUAAAGGCAAUUAUACAGGAGCGGGGGGUCAACUUCAAAUAGAGGCCCUAUAAUCCUUCCAAGGAGGGACCUUAAUAAAGUCAUAAAACAAUUUAAUGAUUAUUAGACUAAGUGAAAAGUUAUUAUGUGUAAACUGCAUUAUGUAGGAAUUUAAGAAAACUGUAACUAAAUUAUUAGCAUUAAUUAUUUUCUCAUUUUAUGUUCAUUAAUUUCAUGCAUUUAAAUAGAAAAUUGUGUAAAUUAGUCAUUGCACAAACUUCAUUCUUUAAGAAUGCAAGAGUAAUAACUUGCAAAUUAAUAAAUAAGUGAGUUAGGGGGAGUACAUAAUUAUUUCUUAUUUGUACAACCAUUUUAAAGUAAUUUGACAUUCUUGGAUACCCUAUACCAUAAUUCUGUAAGGUUGAUGAUUAUCAACUGAUUAUGUUGCUACUUGUUUCAAACUAAAAAGCAAAAUGAUGAUUUGCAUAAAGCCACAGAAUCCAUGCCAGAGUUGAAAGAAAAUGACAUUAGUUGUGUGAAAUACAAAACAUUUCACUUUUCAGUUAGUAUGGUGAUAUCAUUUAACAAUAAGAAAUAGUUAUAUAUUUUUGGAAAACAAUGGCUCUGAAAUACUCUUGGCUGCUUGAUACUUCUCAACAGGACACCAUAAUCUAGUCCCCUGAAACACUGUCUUCAACUGAUAUUAACUUUUAUUAAAACUUAAUUUUUAUUUAUGGAAUUUUACCAUAAAGUUAGUUGUCAUUGUGACCAAAAGCAGGACAAAUGGAAAAAUAUUUAAAUAAAAGCUAAAAUGAUUAGAUACUGUCUUCAAUUAGAAGACUUAAUUCUACUUUUAUACUUGUUAAUUUUCAAAAGAUUAAGUACAACCUAUCUCCUGUUUUGAGAGAGACCCAAUUAUCCUGGAUUAGGAAUUAUGUUUAGAAUAAUGAAUAAGGAAAAUUUUUGUGUAGCAAAUUAAUAUCUUCCUGAAAAAUGUGUGGAGUACUAUCCCCAAUUAUUCAUUACCUAAGGGGCCUCAUGAAGAUGCCUACCACUCCAAAAAAAUCAAUUGGUAUUGAUGUUGGCAUAAGAAAAGAAUAGUGAAGAGGCAGAUCUUUCCCCAAAAGACAGCAUACCUCACUACAAAUUUAAUAUAAUAAUAAAUUAUUUUUUAGAAAAUCAAAUAUUUGGGAUCCUCCAGUCAAUGUCCCUUUCCCCAAGCAUAAGACUACAAAAUAACAUUUUUUCAAUGGCUUUCAGCUGUUCCAGGCACUGUUUUCUGAUCAGCUCUCAUCUCUCAACCUCUCCACACCAUUUUCCUCAGGCAGUUUAGGGAGGUAUGGAAGAGUCUAGAGGCUGAGAAGUAUAAACUCCCAAACAGCUCCAACCUCCUAGACAAUGUGCGUGGACUGCUCUUCUUUCAGUUUCACAUGGGGGAAUUUAGGAAAAACUGUUCCCCUUUUAAAACUCCAUGUAGAGGAAUGUGAAUAACAACCCUUCUUACUCAGAGCUCUGGAUUUUCCAAUCCUGAAACUUAAGUCUUUUGAUUAAGCCAGGAAUUCUCAAUCUUUGUGGAGAAGCUCUCUGCAGGAGCUCUACCAUAACAUACACUCCCACCAGACUCCAAAUUCCCAUACUCAGAGCCCCAGAAUGUGUACUGUAAAAGCUCUAUGGUGAUUCUGACACAACGUGGUUUGGGAACAAGGCUAGACUCUCUCUUGGCAUUCCUUUGAUGACCUAAAAUGUUAUUACUUGGAAUUAAAUUUUUUUCAUUUAAAUAAUGACAAAGGGCAAUCAUUGAGGUACACCGGUCAAAUAUGUAAUAGAUUUUUGAUGUGAAGUCUUUGGUCACAAACAUAACCCCAGUCACAACAAUGAUUCUUUGGGCAACGUCAAUUUACUUUUAAGAAUUACUUUACAAUGUGAUUUCCAGGAAUUAAUCGUAAUAAAUAAGACGAAUGUCUAUAGGGGAAAAAAUUAUUCCUGCUAUUAAUGGCAACACUUAUUCACUAGGCUACAAAGAUAACUAAGUACAGAUGCAGAAAAACUUAAUAUAUGAGGGCAUGAGGGACAUACUACACAAUACCUGGCUAUAGCUCCUCAUGACUGUCGAGGUCAUGGGACACAAGAAAGGUCUAAGAAAAUGCCAGAUCUGAGGAGACUAAGGAGACAUAGUGAUUAUUGUGUCCUAGAUGGAAUCCUUAGAACAGAAAAAGGACAUUAGUGGAAAAACGAAUGACAUCUGAAAAAAGUCUGAAGUCUAGGUAACAGUAAAAUACCGAUACUGGGUUCCUCAUUGUGACAAAUGUACCAUGGUACCAUAAGAUGUUAACAACGGGAGAAACUGGCUGAGGCGUAUCUGGGAACUGUCUAUUAUCUUUGUAGCUUUCCUGUACCUCUACAAUCAUUCCAAAAUAAAAA